rnacentral:sRNA from 1 species
ACCCCGGUAUUAUUGCUGUUAUGGGUUUGAAUCGAGCUUAGCCUUGUUCAUUUUUUUACACAACACCCCCGUAAAAAAUACAACACGGCCCGCUCAAGCUCGCGGGCGCCAAGAAGGCUGAAGGCAAAAAAAUGCCCCAAAGUGCCUCAAAAAAGCCCGGCCAGUGCUUUUUUAGGGCAA